AACAGAACUGGAUGAUGAAGGAGAGGGAAGCAUGCCAGAGCCCUGGCGUAGACCGGUGUGCGCCCACGAGCGGGGAAUAAGCCUGCAAAGAAUUAGGGGGCCAUGAGCAGUGAACGCUUGAGGAGCUGGGUGCUCGCGGCAUGCCAGGAAGUCCCCUCCAAUGGAGAGGGCGAGCGAUUGCAAUCACCCCUCGGAGGGAAGCACAGUGCGCGGCGGGCCCCAGGCCGCCAUGUGGGCCACGCCAGAAUACGGCACACCGGGUGAUUUACAAUGAGCCGAAAUGUAUUUCUCGCAAUCCUAGAAACUGGGAAAUCCGUAAUGAAGGGGGCAGCCUCUGGGGUGUCCUUGCUGUGCCAUCUCAUGGGAGACGGCGGAAAGGCGAGAGAGAACCAACUUCACCCCUCGGCGAGGAACUCACCCCUGAGAUAGUGGAGUUAGUUCCACCACAGCUCUGAUCCCAAAGCCGAAACACCUGCCAGGAAGCCCCGACUCCCAACACCGUGGUGCUGGGGGUUAAGUUCCCACCACGUGCGUUUCGCAGGGACACAUUUCCCAGCUGGGAAAGCUGCCCCAGCCCAUUUGCUGAGGGCCGUGGAAGGCUGCUACCUUGCAGGUUGGAGUCUGUGCCAGGCCUUGGUGGCUGUGUAAGCUGUGAGCCCCACGAGCGGGAGCCUCUGUGGAGGGGUGCAUGUCCCUGGGAGGAAAGCAGCAAGGCAGGGCUUAUAGGUAGCUCUAAGAGGAGAAUUACUGUACAGAAGCCUCGCGUUGUGGCACAAGGCCAUGCGAUUAGUAGCAGAGACUCCCCCACUAGAGACAAAGAGCCGUUAGCGUGCGGCUAGGCCUGGUAGAGGUGGUCCCACUAAGUGACGCUGAAGUCAAUGCUGUGCAGCCUGGGCUGCAUUCACGCAGAGCCACCACGCUGUAACACUGACGAUGACAGCCGUGAUGGGUAAGUUGUACCCCUGGGAUCAGGAUAAGCAGGCCCGGUCGCCACCAGCAGACUGCCCAAGAAGGAAGCCCACACUGCCACGUCACCCACCCUUGUUGCCUAGUGCCCACCGGUGCCUCUAUCAGGGGGUCCCUUAAGAACACCAAGCUGUUCAUGGAUGGGUCGACUUGGUUUCAAGGUGCAUGCUGGAAAUGAACCGCUGCUAGACCCCGGCCCCGCUCAGGGCCUGGAAAGCAGCAGGGAUGGGGGUGCCUCCCAGUGGGCAAAGCCUCAGCCAGUGCGCCUGCUCGUCAGGUUUGCAUUGAAAGAGAAAUGGCCUGAGAUAGGACUUACAUAGACUCUUGUGACACAGCAAGUGAGUCAGCCCCGGCCACAGGUCUAGAAAGAGAAAGAGAAAGAAGUGGUAAGAAGGUUCAGGGAAGAGGCAUGCGGAUUGUGGAUGAACCAUGGUGCGUGGUCAGGGGUGGGACUAUCCUUGUAUCAGGUGCUGCACCCUUUGGAGAGCAUGCCCAGUGGAAUAAGCCCCAGGUGGACAGAAUGAGUCCAGUGGUCGAUGUCAGCCUUGGACACAGGCCGUCUUUGGAUGGCACCAGUGGGUUUGUGUAUAGGGAGGAGGGGGUAGGACAGAGGCAACACACAGACCCCACAGCAGUGACUCCCUGCUCAACCGAGCUAACCUGGUAAUCCAAUGUCACAUGUCCACCCUACUAGCAGAGGAGACCAGUGCUGAGGCACCGGUGUGGCACUCUCCUCCAAGGAGACCAACUGGCCGCUGGGUGGCAAGUUGAGUCCACUGAACCCAUUUUACUCUCACAGGGGAAUUGAUGCACUUCUAUCAGGACGGCAUGCAUUCUGGUAUGGGUUUGCCUUUCCUGUCUGCAGGGACACUGCACCGCCUUCCGAGGGCACUGCUUUCGAUGAAGAGAACCACUGUUGAGCAAAGGAGCCAGGGCAGUGGGCAUCAGCCCACACGUUCCUUCUGGCCUGUCCCACGCUGCCACCCUGACGCAGUGGGGAGCCAGUCUUUGGAAGUGCAGCUGAGACACCACUUUGGGGAUGACGCUUGUGAGCCGAGGACGUCACUGUCCAGAAGGCAGCAGUACACAGUCUGCUCAGUAAUUUGAGAAGCACAGACAUCUGUGCAGGAAGUCCUGGGGACAGAGAGAGAGGCCUGAGAGGCGGUGGUAGCCGGGGGUCAGAGCCUUCAGGGACCAGGUUCUGGGCAGCACGCGUGUGGAGCCACAGAGUCACAUCAGCUUCAAAUUCCACACAUCCAGCUUCCAUGUCCUGGAUCAGGCCCUUAAGGAAAAGGCUCGUCUGAGGGCUGCUGGCCUUCUCAGGGGCUGGCCGGCUCCCUCCUGGCAUGGAAAUCUGGGUAGCAGCCACGUACUGACGCGUAAGCUAUACCCACGUGCAGAUGCUGACGUAGGGGUCGGGCGAGCGCCUUGGCCCAGGUCAACACCGUGGAGUAACUCCCCACUCUCCGCUCUUCACUGAAACCCCAGCCAGAGCCUUGCUCAGGCAGGGAUGGAGGAGGACACCCGCCCUGUUCCCCAGGCAGGUUCCACUGCCGGGGCUCUUCCGCCACCCCUACAGGGCACCCAGGCUGGAGCUGGACAGCCGACAGUCCACAGCAAAGGGACCUCGCGACUUCACACUGGCGGUAGCUGGGCUCGACGGAGACUUGCAAAGCUUCACACAGAAUAGAAUUGAAAGCUAAAUUGGUUUGGUACAAAAGUUUUUUUGCAAUCUCAUCCUCUGCUUUUCUGUGAUCAUUUCAAAGACGCGUUCCACUUGCUGGUGGUUUUUUCCACGUGUUGGUGCUGGGUUUUCUUUCUUCUCUUUUGUUUUCCCUGCAGAGAAAGAGAAGCACACGAUGCUCCCAACACGGCACUGACGCUCUGUCGCAACAAGCCCCUGCAUGAGUUAGCUGUCAAUAUCGCCAGAAGCCCACCCUAGUUUAUAUGACGCCUGGCCGUGCAGCCUGCAGGGAGCGGCAGGAGGCAGCUGCCUCUGGAGACCAUGCCCAGGGUGGGAGGCUUGGAGGCCCUCAAAAGGCUGGAAUCUGCACCCGGAGUAACAAACGAUUUAGUUAGAUCCUGACUCAGUAGCACCAAGGAGCAGGACAGGGGAGGAUGGAACUGUCAAACAGCAGCUUCCUUUCCUGUGUCUCCUGGUACAGAGAGGGUGGCCGUGUACACCGCCACGUGGGCCACGGAGAGACCGUUGGCCACAGGCACAGUGGCUGUCCUGGUCCUACCCACUGCACCCCCGUAGCCCCCACUCACCCCAGGAGCUGUGCUCGCCAGCCCUGCCCCUCCUCCUCCAUGAGGGGCCUGGUGAGCAGAAUGGAUCAGGACACCCAGUCUACAGCAGCAACCAGCCCAGAACACAGAGUCCUUAGCCCUGCCUGCCGCACCCCUUCCCUGGCACGCCUGGCAGGAGGCCCUUCAAGUGCACAGUUCAAUUAGGAUGGCUCAAGUA